AGUGAACGCUGGCGGUAGGCCUAACACAUGCAAGUCGAACGGACGCACAGUAAGCGCUUGCCCUUAAGGGUGGCGAGUGGCGGGCGGGUGAGGCAUACAUCGGAAUCUACUAUUACGGGGGGGAUAACGGAGAGAAACAUACAAUAAUAGCGAAUACGAUCAACGGGUGGAUGCAAGGGAUAUUCGGACCUUGGGCGAUUGAAUGAGACGAUGUCGGAUUAGCUAGUUGGCGGGGUAACGGCACACCAAGGCGACGAACCGUAGCUGGUCUGAGAGGAUGAUCAGCCACACUGGAACUGAGACACGGUCCAGACUCCUACGGGAGGCAGCAGUGGGGAAUAUUGCACAAUGGGCGCAAGCCUGAUCCAGCCAUACCGCGUGGGUGAUGAAGGCCUUCGGGUUGUAAAGCCCUUUUAUUGGGAAAGAAAAGCAGCAUGUUUAUCCCCCGCUGUUCUGACGGUACCCAAUGAAUAAGCACCGGCUAACUUCGUG
rnacentral:rRNA from 1 species